UACCAGCACCCCGAGUGGUCGGGACGAUUAUUGGGCCUAAAGCAUCCGUAGCCGGUUCUACAAGUCUUCCGUUAAAUCCACCUGCUUAACAGAUGGGCUGCGGAGGAUACUAUAGAGCUAGGAGGCGGGAGAGGCAAGCGGUACUUAGGGGGUAGGGGUAAAAUCCGUUGAUCCAUUGAAGACCACCAGUGGCGAAGGCGGCUUGCCAGAACGCACUCGACGGUGAGGGAUGAAAGCUGGGGGAGCAAACCGG
rnacentral:rRNA from 1 species